GUCCUACGGGUGGCUGCAGUGGGGAAUUUUGGACAAUGGGGGCAACCCUGAUCCAGCCAUGCCGCGUGCGGGAAGAAGGCCUUCGGGUUGUAAACCGCUUUUGUCAGGGAAGAAAUCCUUUGGGUUAAUACCUCGGAGGGAUGACGGUACCUGAAGAAUAAGCACCGGCUAACUACGUGCCAGCAGCCGCGGUAAUACGUAGGGUGCGAGCGUUAAUCGGAAUUACUGGGCGUAAAGCGUGCGCAGGCGGUUAUGUAAGACAGAGGUGAAAUCCCCGGGCUCAACCUGGGAACUGCCUUUGUGACUGCAUAGCUGGAGUACGGCAGAGGGGGAUGGAAUUCCGCGUGUAGCAGUGAAAUGCGUAGAUAUGCGGAGGAACACCGAUGGCGAAGGCAGUCCCCUGGGCCUGUACUGACGCUCAUGCACGAAAGCGUGGGGAGCAAACAGGAUUAGAUACCCUAGUAGUCU
rnacentral:rRNA from 1 species